rnacentral:rRNA from 1 species
AUUGAACGCUGGCGGCAUGCCUUACACAUGCAAGUCGAACGGCAGCACGGGUGCUUGCACCUGGUGGCGAGUGGCGAACGGGUGAGUAAUACAUCGGAACAUGUCCUGUAGCGGGGGAUAGCCCGGCGAAAGCCGGAUUAAUACCGCAUACGAUCUACGGAUGACAGCGGGGGACCUUCGGGCCUCGCGCUAUAGGGUUGGCCGAUGGCUGAUUAGCUAGUUGGUGGGGUAAAGGCCUACCAAGGCGACGAUCAGUAGCUGGUCGGAGAGGACGACCAGCCGCACGGGGACUGAGCCACGGCCCAUGCGCCUGCGGGAGGCAGCAGUGGGGAAUUGUGGACAAUGGGCGAAAGCCUGAUCCAGCAAGGCCGCGUGUGUGAAGAAGGCCUUCGGGUUGUAAAGCACUCUUUUCCGGAAAGAAAUCCUUGGCCCUAAGACGGUCGGGGGAUGACGGUACCGGAUGAAUAAGCACCGGCUAACUACGUG